rnacentral:tRNA from 1 species
GGAUUAUGGCUCAGUGGUAGAGCACUUGCCUCGCUCGUGUGAGGCACUGGGUUUGAUUCUCAGUGCCA